AGGAAGCGAGAAGUCGACGCGCCGCAAGGCGUCCGGCCCUCCGCGAGCACCCGCGGGCGAUCGGAUUCCGGACCCGGUCCGAUUCCGAUCUCACCGAGGGGCUGUCCGCGAUCAUGGAGGUGUCCUCGGACGGCGUCGAAUCCUUCUCCAGUCCGCGACGCUACGGCUUGGAUGGUCCACCCGACCCGUCUUGAAACACGGACCAAGGAGUCUAACAUGCGCGCGAGUCGUUGGGUCGGACACGCUCCGCUAAACCCAUAGGCGCAAUGAAAGUGAAGGCCGCCGUCGGGCGGCCGAGGGAGGACGGGGCCGCGCGCUCGCAUCAGCGGGCGUCGGUCCCCGCACCCCCGGGGCGUCUGAUCCCUCAUCGCGAGGGGAGGCGCACCCAGAGCGCACACGUUGGGACCCGAAAGAUGGUGAACUAUGCCUGGCCAGGACGAAGUCAGGGGAAACCCUGAUGGAGGUCCGUAGCGAUUCUGACGUGCAAAUCGAUCGUCGGAGCUGGGUAUAGGGGCGAAAGACUAAUCGAACCAUCUAGUAGCUGGUUCCCUCCGAAGUUUCCCUCAGGAUAGCUUGCGCUCGGAGGAGAGUCUCAUCCGGUAAAGCGAAUGAUUAGAGGCCUUGGGGCCGAAACGGCUUCAACCUAUUCUCAAACUUUAAAUGGGUGAGAACUCCGGCUUGCUCGACUUGUCGAAGCCGGAGACGGGGCUCCGGCCCCCGGGAUCGGAGUGCAUAGUGGGCCACUUUUGGUAAGCAGAACUGGCGCUGUGGGAUGAACCAAACGACGGGUUAAGGCGCCCGAAUCGACGCUCAUGGGAAACCAUGAAAGGUGUUGGUUGCUUAAGACAGCAGGACGGUGGCCAUGGAAGUCGGAAUCCGCUAAGGAGUGUGUAAUAACUCACCUGCCGAAGCAACUAGCCCUGAAAAUGGAUGGCGCUGAAGCGUCGUGCCUAUACCCGGCCGUCGCGGCAGGGCGGACCCGCGAGGGUGCCGUUCGAUGCGGCGACGAGUAGGAGGGUCGCGGCGGCGCGCGCAGAAGGGUCUGGGCUCGAGCCUGCCUGGAGCCGCCGCCGGUGCAGAUCUUGGUGGUAGUAGCAAAUACUCCAGCGAGGCCCUGGAGGACUGAUGUGGAGAAGGGUUUCGUGUGAACAGCCGUUGCACACGAGUCAGUCGAUCCUAAGCCCUAGGAGAAAUCCGACGCCAACGGCGACGGGAAAAAUGAAAGAGAAAGAAACCCGUUGAUCGGGCGAAAGGGAAUCCGGUUCCUAUUCCGGAACCCGGCAGCGGAACCGCUGUUUGUCGGGCCCUCACAAGGGGUUCGUCAGGGUAACCUAAAAGGGCCCGGAGACGCCGUCGGGAGCCCCGGAAAGAGUUUUCUUUUCUGCAUGAGCGUUCGAGUUCCCUG
rnacentral:rRNA from 1 species